AGUGGGGUGAGAAUCGCCGACUCAAUAAUUAUUCGUAGUUUAUGUGGUACGUUCAUGGAAUAAAGAUGAAUUUAACUGGAUUUACUUAGCAAUUCAGAUCUUCGUCCAUCAUGGCUCAGAAGAAUCAAAUGGCAGAGAUAAGAUGCAUGGAGCCAGAAAAUUAUCGGAAAUACUUUCGAUCCCUAUGUUGGAGUGGAAAUAGAAAAUUGGACAGACGAACUGGUAGGAGGGGUAUAAGAAAAGAUAGGUCACGGAGAUCUAAAGGACCAAAUGCAUUUGCCAUAUGUUUUGCUCCAGCUUUACUUGGCAAUCCAUCGCAAUUUGCAGUUUAUGCUACCGUCCGAAAGUCUAUUCUGUCCCGUUGGAGACAUCUACAAGGAUCAGUAGCUGAUUUAUCUGAUGAAAGUGAUAAUGAUGAUCAAAAUCAAGUUGCAAACAUUAAAUUACCAAAAAUUACAGGAAUUGGUCUUCGUACUGUUUUUAGUCUAAUUGAUCAAGCAAGGUUUAAAGAUACCAGUUUGUGUGAAUCUGCACUUCGGGCUUUGCUUGACGUACUGCAAUCACAUGCCCCUGAAGAUUUAUCCCAUGA